rnacentral:lncRNA from 1 species
AAGAGGCUUUUUUGGCAAUGUCGUAUUACGUGUUGUCUUGCUCAGGAAUGCACCGAGCACCCAGUUGUGGAAGGUGAGAAUUCCUAAUAGGUUUUGUCCAUACGAGAAGAAUACAAUCUGAAUUUCAAUUCAAAAGUGCUAAAAACACUCUUCCUAAUAGCCUUAAUCAUUCAUAAAUUCCAAUUACCUUGUUACUUUCAUAUUUAAGUAAUUAAGAUUUUUCUUGUAAGCUCCAAUCCUAAUAAUUGAGCUUUAACAAGCUGUAACAUCCAAUCCAAUCAUCCACUUGAUGUAAAAUUUUUUAUGCAAUUGUCAAUGUAAGUCUUCUAUAUACUCAAGAAUUUUUAGUCCAAUCCCACUUACAGAUUGUGAUAAAACCUCCAAAAAUUGCAUUAAUGUCACUCGUCUGCCAACUUGAAAAGUGAAGCAGAAAUCCCAAAAGUGAUUUCUCCCUUUUCAACCAUUAUCUUUGACUCAAAAUUGGUGUGUAGCUUGAUCUUUAACUCCUGCAAUACUAUGCCAAAUUUCACUUUGAUCCAACUAAUAGAUCUCUAGAUAUCAUAGAAAUCCUAUCCAACCUCAAACUGCCAACUUUUGAAAUCCUUUUGUGCUAAAAACUAGAUAUCUCUAACCAUACCGUUAGAUUAUCAUAAAAUUUUGUAUGCACUUAGUACACCCAAUAAUCCAUGUAGUUUCAAUUUUUCAACCAUAGAUGUUAAAAUAAUUACACAAACCAGCCAAAAUUACUAGCUCUAAUUAUAUAAUAUAAAAUCCAAAUCACCAAUACAAAUCCUGACUU